GUCUCCAUUGUUUUCACCUGUCAUGACUCAGUAGCUGACCCUGCAGCACUCAAAUCAAAUUGCCUAAUUGUACAGCUGAUUCUCCUGCAAAGAUGCAUUCUUAUGCUUAAAACGGUUGCUACCUUGAGGAGAGAUGCUGCUGCUCAGGAGCUGAUGUGUGCCUGGAGUGCUGGCCGCUUAUGACAAUUGCUUUGAGUGGCUGACAUGGUGUUCACUAUUGGGUUUGUGAUGAGAAAGCUGGAAGCUUUCAUUAGCUAAGAUUUUUGGGGUAGACCAAGCUGUUGCAUUGAAAGUUUGAAACUACUGGGAUAUGAAAGAUCAUUCGAACCUCUCGAAGAUAAGGCUCUUACACAGUCAUUAAUUCCUACAUCGAAAAAAUUGAUGCUGAUGUUGUGAAAUUAAGUAAAAGAAAGAAGUACUACAUAUAAAAAGACUACAUGCUCUGAUUGAGAAAUUGAAUAUGUAGAGGAAGCCAAGACUGUAACUUUCUUUCUAUUUAUUGCAGGAACACAGUGUAGAGAGUUAGAGAAUUAGUUCAGCGGGGGAUUUUCAGAUUGUGAGCACAUGCAGAGGACGUUAGCCAAGGAAUUUCAACACAUGAAGUCUAAGUAUGCAAAGGUUUAGAGAAUUAAUUACUAUAGCUUUGGUGAUUGUUAUCUCCCUCUCUUAUGAAUGUUGGAUUCUGUUAGUUAUGUCGUCAAUAUAUUGAACUUCACAACUUAUUGUUCUCCCCCCUGAUUUUGGUUCUCUGCUAAUUUUUAGAUCGGAGUUUUUUGUACUUGACAUUUUUUUAUUGCAUCUGGAUUUUAGGUGCUA